UACGUAGGGUGCGAGCGUUAAUCGGAAUUACUGGGCGUAAAGUGUGCGCAGGCGGCAGAGCAAGUCGAGUGUGAAAGCCCCGGGCUUAACUUGGGAAUUGCGCUCGAAACUACUUUGCUGGAGUGUGGCAGAGGAAGGUGGAAUUCCACGUGUAGCGGUGUAAUGCGUAGAGAUGUGGAGGAACACCAAUGGCGAAGGCAGCCUUCUGGGCCAACACUGACGCUCAUGCACGAAAGCGUGGGGAGCAAACAGG
rnacentral:rRNA from 1 species